UACGUAGGGAGCAAGCGUUGUCCGGAAUCAUUGGGCGUAAAGCGCGCGUAGGUGGCCUCAUAAGUCCGCUGUGAAAGUCAAAGGCUCAACCUUUGAAAGCCGGUGGAUACUGUGGGGCUAGAGUACGGAAGAGGCGAGUGGAAUUCCUGGUGUAGCGGUGGAAUGCGCAGAUAUCAGGAGGAACACCAAUAGCGAAGGCAGCUCGCUGGGACGUUACUGACACUGAGGCGCGAAGGCGUGGGGAGCGAACAGG
rnacentral:rRNA from 1 species